rnacentral:ncRNA from 1 species
AUCUUCGGGGCAGGGUGAGAUUCCCUACCGGCGGUAAAGCCCGCGAGCUAUUUAAUUAGUUGAUUUGGUGAAAUUCCAAAGCCGACAGUAGAGUCUGGAUGAGAGAAGAG